GAGAUAGGAACUUUUCCUGAUGAAAGUAAAGAAGGUUCUUUAUUUUCAUGGGGACGAGUCCCUAUCAUGAUUAUAGUGGUGCAGACGUAUCCAUCUUCCAAUAGAGUCUAUAAUUGCUAUUAUAGAUUUUUUAACGUCAAACCAUUAUUUGUUUUCAUUCAUCUCAUUUGCCAUGUAUUCUUGUUUGCGCCUCAUCCCGUUAUGCGCAGACGUAUAGACAUGAUGGCGACGCUGAAAUUAUUUUCAGCGUAUUUUUUUU
rfam:Listeria grayi DSM 20601 genomic scaffold SCAFFOLD1, whole genome shotgun sequence.